AAUAAGGUGUCUGAAUUUUUAGGUUGUAAAUUGUAAAUUUAUAUAUGGUAUUUAACCCCUUAUUA
rnacentral:tRNA from 1 species